rnacentral:rRNA from 1 species
GAUGAACGCUGGCGGCGUGCCUAAUACAUGCAAGUCGAGCGAACAGACGAGGAGCUUGCUGCUCUGACGUUAGCGGCGCACGGGUGAGUAACACGUGGAUAACCUACCUAUAAUACUGGGAUAACUUCGGGAAACCGGCGCUAAUACCGUAUAAUCUUUUGAACCGCAUGGUUCAAUAGUGAAUGACGGUCUUGCUGUCACUUAUCGAUGGAUCCGCGCUGCAUUAGCUAGUUGGUAAGGUAACGGCUUACCAAGGCAACGAUGCGUAGCCGACCUGAGAGGGGGGUCGGCCGCACUGGAACUGGGACAGGGUCCAGAGUACUGCGGGAGGCAGCAGUAGGGAAUCUUCGGCAAUAGGCGAAAGCCUGACGGAGCAACGCCGCGUGAGUGAUGGAGGCGUUCGGAUCGGAAAACUCUGUUAUGAGGGAAAAACAGCUGUGUAAGUAAAUGUGCACAUCUUGACGGUACCUAAUCAGAAAGCCACGGCUAACUACGUG